UUUUGUUUGUAUACCGGACGCUGGAGUAGCAUGUACAGUCAUUCGUUAUCGAAAUAAUUUACCGAAAUUAAUAUGAAGAUGUGGCCUAAUCCAAUUAAUUAUUAUGAAUAAUGCUGGUAGUCCAAUUCUGUCGCAUCCAUUCCGCAUCUGCCGUCAGAAUGCUCACCGAAGAGCUCAGCAGGACAGGGUGGUGGUUCAAUCGCGACAUUAUUGUAGCAUCUCCUCAAGGGUAGUUGAUCGAUCACUGGCGAUUUGUAGCAAGCGGUGGUGUUAUACAGAGCAGAAUCUGGUUCAGCACCUUUACACGCAUCAUUGAGCAUCAUUGUAGUAAAAGCAACCACAAUAGCAGUAACACCAGCGAGAGCAAUGUUACAGACGACGAGGUUUCCCGCCGUCUCUGGGCAAGUUACCAGCGUCAACAAACAGCUUAACACGUUCAGCCCGGUGGCAGACCCCAGAGCCUGUCAUUGAACUUUCCCGUAUGCCUGUGGCCCUGGGGCCCGCCAUUGGUCUUUGGCUAAGGAAACAAAAAACAUUGCGAACAACUGUACUCCACUCGCAUGAAUAGCAGCAGUGGGCAAGUAUAAGAGCGGUGUUCUAAGAAUUAUUGCGGUUGGUAAAAACCUCAUCCUACACACAGCGGCGGAUGUAACGGUAGACGAACUAGGCGGUCGCCUACCUGCCGAUCUGCCGAUAUCGGCCCUGCCGAUUCAGGGGUCCCGUAGAUCGGUAGUCUAUAGUAUGCAGUAUGUAUACAAGUGGACAGAGUACUAGUUCCUAAGGCCUCCGCGAUAAUGAACGUGGGACCCCGAGACUGGCGAAUCAUUUGCACCCCCCCCCCCUCCCCCCCCUGUCAGCAAUUUAAGUAGCCUGUAAAAUCUCCCAACAGUUGAUUGCCAUAACACCCCCCCCCCCCCCCCCCGAGUGAAGCAAUACCUGUCGGAGAUUGGGUGUCCAACAUUGAUGGUAGGUUGCAAUCAGCCACCGGGCUAUGUUAUGAUGGCGUGCUCCAGCAGGUGAGCAGGCUAACAAGAGACAGCGAUACGUCUCAUUAAGUUCCCGAAAAACAUGAAAGAUAAGAACGAAUGCACCAACCUAAAAUGGAUGAAAAGUAAUUUUGCAUAUAAUUCCCUACGAUAGACAAUAAUUAGAAGCUGUUCAAAUGUAGUUUAUAUUUUUAAUUAAGAAGAAAAUGCAAUUGUUCUUACUUGUGUCUAUUAUCUUUUAUUUCGCUGUAAAAUGUUUAACAAAAAAUUGUAAUGUCUUAAUCCAUAAGAUUUCGUUACAACUAUGUAUCGCUUUUUAGUUUCUAAGCAUUCUUUUUUAUUUAAUAUAAUUUCAGUAUGAAUCGCCA